AUUGAACGCUGGCGGCAGGCUUAACACAUGCAAGUCGAACGAGUGGCGGACGGGUGAGUAAUGUCUGGGAAACUGCCUGAUGGAGGGGGAUAACUACUGGAAACGGUAGCUAAUACCGCAUACCAUCAGAUGUGCCCAGAUGGGAUUAGCUGGUAGGUGGGGUAACGGCUCACCUAGGCGACGAUCUCUAGCUGGUCUGAGAGGAUGACCAGCCACACGGGGACUGAGACAAGGUCCGGACUCCUACGGGAGGCAGCAGUGGGGAAUAUUGCACAAUGGGCGCAAGCCUGAAGCAGCCAUGCCGCGUGAGUGAAGAAGGCCUUCGGGUUGUAAAGCACUUUCAGCGGAGAGGCGUUACCCGCAGAAGAAGCACCGGCUAACUCCGUGACAGCCGCCGCGGUAAUAC
rnacentral:rRNA from 1 species